CAGCACAACCCAAACAAUUGCUCAUAAUUAAACUGAUUGGAGGAGCAGACACUGGCAGGAAAUACACUGCUGGCAGCGGUCCGAUAGCACUUCAUUGUACUGAAUUUAGAACAAUUACAUCAGUUCCUUUCAUUUUGCAGAAAAAGAGGAGGGGGGCUGCUUUUUUAUCUUCUGCUCUCUACCAGCAAAAUCGAUGUUUAUCAAAUCUUGUGAAGAUGAUUUGGACAUUUUUAAUGAACUAUGGUUCUAAGCCUUGUCUACUAGUAUUAACAGCUCCUUGGGAGCCGUAACUGUAGCUGAUGCUCCUAGCUUCCACAAAAUCAUAGGGGUUGGAGGGGACCUCUGCAGAACAUCUUACGUAACCCCCUGCUAAAACAGGUUGCCAACAGCAGGUCACCCAGCAAAGUGUCCAGCAAAGAGAGCAGUUUACAAAUAACCACGUUCAACUGUGCUUAUUUAAGAAGCAAACAAAGAAAAUAAAAUGCACUGAAGUAACGUCAUGUCUUUGGGGAAAAUCCUGUUGCAUUAUCUUCCUCUGACGCACUUAAAUGGAAGAGAAACACACC
ensembl:lncRNA